UAUGCUGUAACGUUUUGAAUUAUUUAGGUGGUAAUUACAAACGAAAUGACUACAAAAAUUUCCUCAGUUAACGAAAUAUCAACAGUACCUUCAUUUGGAAGUAGCUACUAUCACAAAGUAAACACUAGAAUUCAGUUGUGUAAACUAUCAAGAGACGUUUUUAAGGCUAUGCUUAUAAAGAGUGCUUCAAAACCUUUUAGAGAAGUUUCCUUCCAACUAGCUUUAUAAAUUCUAUGCCCAUAUACAGUACGUGGAUAGAUAUAGAUUAAUAAAUGAGCUAAUCAAGAAAAUAUUACAAGGGAAGAUGAAGAUACUUCUUUCUACAUCAUUCUAUUUUUUUUUUUUAAUGCAUAAUUAUAAACUACAGUAAUAAAAAUGAGGCGCCAGGGUAGAACUUUAGAUCCCUUAGAUCACAUGUGUACUAAUAAUAUGGGUGCUUAAUUCCCAAAAGCUACUAAUUCUGAUAAGCAGAUUAUCCCUCCAAUCCACACUGGGGUCAGGUCUAAGCAAAGCUAGAGGGUAGAGCAGAAACAAGAAAGCCCUCUUCAGCCUCCUUUUCGGAAUUAUUGGAAUAGGUCAAUUUCUGUGCUCUUUUAAAUCUUGGAGUAUAAAAAUGAAAUGGAUGAUGGACUUGUUCCUUUAUUUUUAGUUAUUAGAUUUUACUUUUGCAUCUUAUAUUACUUGAACACUCCUUAUUCCAUAAUAAUUCACAAUCUCUCUGAAAUGUAUUAUUUUCUUUCUAUAAGCAUUAUUAAUAAAAUGACAACAUAUCUGUGAU